GAAACUUCCAUUUUCUUAUUACCAAAUCCAACAAUUACUUCUCUUUGUUUCUCCCCAGUACUGAAUCAUAAGCUUAUUAAUCACUCAUGAGCUAGGAAUAUCUAGUAAAGAGCCUCUGCCUUGACAGUGUUGCUGGCCUUCUCUGUCCAUCACGGGUGAACAACGAGGGGUAAUAGGGAGACUAGACUGGCCCAGCUCUUAUGGAAGCCAGAGUCUGGAUUUCACACCUAUAAGGAGAUGACACCUAUUUACCCAGAACACAUAGUCUGCAGCUCAUCUUAAAAGACGCUUAGGAACAAAAGGAAGUUCCUGUGUUACAGCAAACAGAUGCGGUAGUACCCAAAGCUUACCUGUCUCUUCUCUCUCCUCUCUUCCGUCUUACUGCCAUGUCCUCUCAACGAGACUUAAACUUCAUCUCAUGAAUGGCACCAGAAGAACUAUUUGACUCCUUGGCUUCUCUCUUUUUCAGUAGGCUGGUAGCUCAUUCAAAAUUAAAACCAAGCAAAUACUAUUAGUGGCUAGCCCCCUGAGGGCUGAACAAUUUCCCAAGUGUCUUGAUGAUCCCAAUAUCUUGAUAAUCAACUCUGAUAACUUGGAAGUUUUGGCUGGCUCAGACAUCUGUCAACUUUAUUUUCAUUUUGUCUCCAUUUCCAUUUGAAUCUUAAGUGAGAGUGGAAAGGUAGAAUCAUGGGAAAGAUUGUGAGGCUGCAAUUCUAGGGUAGAGUUUGUCAGAAGUUUGUAUUAUCCCAAAUAGAAAUUUCUAUACUUACUUUCAAUUUAAUGUUACCCUGAAUAUAAUUUCUAUUACAUUUAUUGUUAUUUUUAUAAAAAUAGAGUUCAAUUACUAUGUCUAGUUGAGUGCUCUCUUUUCUAUUUUCCCACAUGGAUGCAGUACCAACCUGUUACCUAAAUAUCUUUUUAUUAUAUUGUUAAUAUGUAAUUCUACUGUAGACCAAAAAUAUAAAAACAAAUUUGCUCAUUUUAAACAUAUACAGACUCUAAUGAGUAAAGAUGAGGAGAAAAGACCAGAGAGCAGUGGUUGACUAUGUUGUUAGAAAUCAAAGAGUAGCCUUACCUAUUUUUAACCAGUGCUUGCCGUCACACCAUAGUUAGGACUAUGUUAGCAUGGCUUCUUCAUGCUUACGUUCUGCAAGCCUUGUCUGUCUGUUUCCUUUGAUGUGUUCGAGGUUGCACAAUGAUGCUAUUGUUUUUUUCUUUUGGUAAUGCCUGAUUUUAUUAUAAUGUACUUUAUCAGUCAUUUCCUUUAGAAGAAUGAGGGGGAAAGUUUUAUUUCUUCUUUUAAUUUAAAUUUUGUUUAAUGCACUGGAAAUAAAAUUGGACACAUUUCACUGUUUAAAAAUCAGAAACGAAACAAAACAAAACCCCGAAGAAAAAACCAGCAAACAAGUAAGUAAUAGGAUACACACACAUACAAAAAAGCUAUGAAAAAUAUUCUGUUCAUACAAAAUAUAGGCUAUAUCUCACAUGAGAGAUAAAUACUGUCAAGUAAUAAAAAGACAUUGUCAACUACAGUGCUGAAAACUAUAAGAGGAACCUAGGUGUACAGUGUGUGGGGAAAACUACGAAUCCUUUCUGAGGCGAGAUCUUUCCAUUGUUCCAAUAAAAACCUAAGCAAGUUGAAUGUGGAAGUCGGUAAGUAGGGAGCACCCCGCCUUCUUUACACCAGCGGACCUCUGGGUUACUUUCUACCAUGGGUCUCAGCCACAUACACAUACACACGCACGCACUCAUGUGCACACACUCAAUACUUGAGAAGGAUUUGUGAAAAUGUACAUACCCAGUACACAGAUGUACACAGUGCUCUGACAGCCCUCAAGCUCUUCUGAGGCUUAGCAGUGAUGGGUCCACAACAUGGAAUACUGAAAGGGAUUCACUGAGAUCUACGUGUGCUAAUAAAGUGCUUGAAGCCAGCCUGGUCUCUUCCCCAGCAUCCCCUAGUCCAAGGCCAGCUGCCACACACACAUGGACAGAGAAAGGCGAGACACCGGUUACUUCUCCUAGCCAACUGGCUCAUUAUUAUUUGCUGAAUAUUUGCUGGAUUUUUCUGGUUUUGUUCUGUUUUAGAAUGGGGUGGGAGUGGAUGUUAUGUCACAAUCCUAAUACAGUAAAGUUUUGCAUCUUCCAUAUCUUAUGCAAAAACAGACAUUUAAAUCAAUAAAUAGUUGUGCCCUAGACUGAAAGUUAAUGUUUAGGAGAGGGAAAAAUUGUUGGAAUUUUUUCUACAUUUUUUUGUGAAGAAUCUUUUUUGGAAAGGAAGGAUACAUAUUUUUGUUGUGUAAUAUUUUCUAUUUUUGAAUGCAUUUUAUUGGUACAAGACUGUUUUUUUGGUGAAGACAUUAUUUAAAAAAAGAAAAAAAGAAAAAAACUAAUCGAAAAGUUUGCCCUUAAGGAUAUGCUGCAGUUUUGAGAUUAAAAAAUAAUAACUGAUUCAAGAUGCGUGUUAAAAGUUGGGAUUAUAUUGUUGUUUUUGUAAUUGUUACAAGAAGAAGUUUGUACCCACUGCUGUUUAUUUUGUUUCAGAUGAGUAAGUAAAGGGAUUGUUCUUGUUUUAUUCUUUUUUUAGAGAAAAAAGCUAUUUAUGAAAUGUCAAAAACACUGGACUGUGAGUUUAAGUGUGGAAGCAUUUUACCACCCUGUGUCUUCAACCAAUUAUGGGAAACCUUUUCUCUCCCCCCCUGCCUUAGCCUUGCCAAAUGAGGAAAACGUAACAGCUCUCAGAUGACGGAAGUCACCGAAGCCCUGCUUUAAUUUUUAUGGUCUGAAAAAGUCGGAAAACCAAAGUUAAAUUUGUUUCUGAAAUCCCGCUGUCUAUAGCCCCUUUUUUGUACAACACAGCCGGCUGGCUCUGCCUCUCUAUCUUGGAUCAUUGCCUUCUUAGGAACGUGGGGCCAGCUCUGCCAAGAGGCGUGAAGGUGGCGAGGUCACAGGAAGUGAGGUGUGAGGGGGACCCCUAGGGCCCCGGAGCUUCUCCAUCCAGAGGCGAGGCUGCCAAGAGCACACACAGCUAACAGUGCCUGGCGGGGUCGCCCCUGUCCCCCUCACCUUCUGCUUCGAAGACCCUCCAGUUACCGUGGCUCUGCCUUUCUCAGCAGCCCACGUUCCGUGGAUGGGAGGGGGUGGGAUCCAAGCAGAAAACACGGCUGUGGGCGCUGCGAAGGCCCCGGCCCUCAGGAGGUAAAGCAAGGGACCACUCAGCACAAGGGCUCUUGCUGCCCGCCUCCUCUUUGACUCUGUGGAUCGUCCAUCCAUCUGCUCACUGUGAAGAUGGAGAGGCAGUGCGCCCUGAGGCUGUUCAAUAGCUUUUCCAUAUUUUUUCAACAUUGAAAAAAUAAUUUUUAAAAACUGUGAUAUUU
rnacentral:lncRNA from 1 species